rnacentral:rRNA from 1 species
UCGGACGGGGUGAGUAACGCGUAGAAUCUGCCUUCAGGAGGGGGAUAACGACUAGAAAUGGUCGCUAAUACCCCAUAUGCCUAUGGGUGAAAUGAGUUUUGCCUGAAGAUGAGCUCGCGUCAGAUUAGCUAGUUGGUGAGGUAACGGCUCACCAAGGCGACGAUCUGUAGCUGGUCUGAGAGGAUGAUCAGCCACACUGGGACUGAGACACGGCCCAGACUCCUACGGGAGGCAGCAGUGGGGAAUUUUCCGCAAUGGGCGAAAGCCUGACGGAGCAAGACCGCGUGAGGGAUGACGGCCUAAUGGUUGUAAACCUCUUUUAUUCGGGAAGAUAAUGACGGUACCGAAUGAAUCAGCCUCGGCUAACUCCGUGCCAGCAGCCGCGGUAAUACGGAGGAGGCAAGCGUUAUCCGGAAUUAUUGGGCGUAAAGCGUCCGUAGGUGGUUAUACAAGUCAGCUGUUAAAGAGUGGUGCUUAACACCAUAAAGGCGGUUGAAACUGUAGGACUAGAGUUUGGUAGGGGUUGCGGGAAUUCCCAGUGUAGCGGUGAAAUGCGUAGAUAUUGGGAAGAACACCGGUGGCGAAAGCGCGCGACUGGACCUGAACUGACACUGAGGGACGAAAGCUAGGGGAGCGAAAGGGAUUANAUACCCCUGUAGUCAA